ACACUGGGUGCUGUCUAUAGCCUGAGCUGAGCGAUGAAAGGUUCGGGAUGUAUUCCAGCUAUAUUAACAGGCAGCUUGUUGGUUUGCUUACAGAAUUCUGAGCUCAGACCUAAAUUCUUUUGACUUGUGAUUCAGAAGCAGUAAGGAUUGUGUGUGAAUAAUGAAGUGGAAAAGCCAAGAAUGGGAUAUAUACUGGUGUUUGUAUCCACUAAAAGGAGGGGGCCAAAUUGGUUGCUGUGGCAGAUUAUCUUCAAGUACUGGCUAAUUUGGAAGGGGGAAGACUAGGUGAGUGUCAAGACGAAAAGAGAGCAGGAAUUCAUAGCAGUCAAGCCAACAUAGGUUUUCAUACUGCACCAUCACUAUGGUAUCUGGGCACCAUGGAAUGGAGAAAAAGAGACAAAAUGAGGAUUAAUGUCUCCCCCCUUCCUUCUAACUCCUGGAGGUGCAUCUGAGAAGUGGGUUUUUUUACCCACGAAAACUUA